rnacentral:lncRNA from 1 species
AAGAAAACCAGCAAAGACUGAAGCGCGGAAGAAGGAACUACCAUGAGCGCGCAGCACCGAGGAUGGGUACGCCCAUCUGUGAAGGCUUGGGAGCAACACUGUCUAACCGGUCGCUGGAACUGGGGGCAAUUUGAAGUCACCAAUUCACCUGAAAUGCAUGUCUUUGGACUAUGGGAGGAAACUGGAAUACACAGAAAAAACCCACAGAAACAUGAGGAAACAUGCCAACUCCACAUAGACUGAGCAGGGAUUAAACCCAAUUCUCUUGUACCACCAAGGUGCUGUGAGGUGGCAGCGCUACUUACUGGACCAACAUGGGUUUAAAACAAGAAACCAGAGAAGAAACAAAAGCCAAAAUAAGAACAGAACAGAAAAAAAUGGUUCUUUCAAGUAUUUGAAUGAUCCAAUCUCAGUCCUUCAGAUAGCCAGGAACACAUUGGCAGACAGCAGGUCAUCAAACUGGGGGGUCUUCCCUUCGUGUAGACACCCCAGUUGGGUUCCUUAAAAGCUCUGGUGGUCUCAGAAUUCACGUCUUCUCUGCCUGAUUUUAGCUGGCAGAUUGGGAUAAAAUCACAGAAAAGAAUCUUUAAAGAAUGAAGAAGAAACAGGAAAGAAUCUUCACUGCAGCUUUUUUGAUGUUUUCUUUGUCAGAUAGACCUAAGAAUCAUACUAGAAUACUCCUUGGAUGGGCAGGGAGCAUGGCAAAGGAGUGGGUAGACAAAAUGUAUCUCAACAGCAGAUGAAUCAGCCAGCAGUCUCACCCAGGAAUGCAGUUCAUCUUGAAAAUAUUGCUUAAGAAAAAUUUCCUGUUUAGCAUUCUCAGGCAGGCCACAAUUGUCAAAUAUUACAGUUUUAUACAUUUAUUUAUUUAGCAGACACUUUUCUCCAAAGCAACUUCCAAUGCACUCGAUGUAGUAUUAUCAGCCCACACACAUUAUUCACUAAGGUGACUUACACUGCUAGAUACACUACUUACAAUGGGUCACUCAUCCAUACAUCAGUGGAACACACUUUCUCUGUCACUCACACUAUGGGUCACCAAUCCACUUGAACAACAUGUCUUUGGACCGUGGGAGGAAACCCACGCCGACAUGGGGAGAACAUGCAAACUCCGCACAGACUGAGCGGGGAUCAAACCCAUGUCCUCUCGCAUCACCCAGGGGCUGUAAGAUGCCAACACCACUCACUGUGCCACCAUGUCACCCAUAAUGCAAUACUUUGUUUAGUUUGGUCCAACUCAGCU